CCGAAAAUGAUGUUGAACAUGUCAGGCUAUGUGACGCCGAGGAUUCAGAAAACCCGGAUAUAUGGAUCCUGUCUGAUUCGAUUCUUUACUGGGCCGGCAAAAGAGCAAAUGAUAUGGGCCAGCCGAACUUGAGCUUACCAAACAAUACAUCUAUCGGAUGGUUUGGGGUCAGGGGCCUUAAAUGGAUAGACUUUCACAGGCAGCUGCAACGGAGAAUGUUACAAAACACAAGCCCGAGGGUAAUAGUUAUUCAUCUCGGUGGCAACGAUCUUACAUCGAUCAGUAUUUGUAGCUUAAUUAGAAAAGUGUCCGAAAGUAUUCGGUAUUUAUUCCAGACAUUUCCUGACGCUGUUAUUGUUUGGCUAGAUAUUUUCCAAAGGAUUUUAUGGUCCGGUGCUGAAUCUGUCAAAAGUGUCGAGGCUAAACGGAAACGUAUAAACUACAUCGGUCUUAAACUCGUAAGUGAAAAUAGUCGAGGAAGACACUUCACAAUAGACAUAGACCACAAAAACAGCGCUUUAUUUAGGCCGGAUGGUGUUCACCUUUCAGACACUGGUCUUGAUUUAACUCUAGAGGCAUUAAAAAGCUUUCUAAUACAGUUUGCUCGCUAGAAUUUGGCGGAAAAAGAAAAAAAAAUUUUUCUAGAAUUUGGCGGAAAAAGAAAUAAAAAUCUAUUUUCUUUCUUUUUUGUGGCGGAAAUUCUAGCUUCACACGUGCUUGUAUAAAAAGUAACCCUUACUUUCUUUUCAUUUUGAAUAUACUUGUGUAUAACGUAUGCUAAAGCCUCCCCCGUUAUUACUGCACAGCAAAAAUCGAAAUUUUACUAGUUCAUUGUGUUGCACAUGGUAUAAGCGCAGUUGUGCAUGGUAUAAGCACAGUAUGGUGUAAGCGCAGUAUGGUGUUGUGCAUGGUAUAAGCACAGUCUGGUGUUGCGCAUGGUAUAAGCGCAGUUGUGCAUGGUAUAAGCACAGUAUAGUGUUGCGCACGGUAUAAGCGCAUUUGUGCAUGGUAUAAGCACAGUAUGGUGUUGCGCAUGGUGUAAGCGCAGUAGGGUGUUGUGCAUGGUAUAAGCACAGUCUGGUGUUGCGCAUGGUAUAAGCGCAGUUGUGCAUGGUAUAAGCACAGUCUGGUGUUGCGCACGGUAUAAGCGCAGUUGUGCAUGCUAUAAGCACAGUUUGGUGUUGCGCAUGGUAUAAGCGCUGUUGUACAUGGUAUAAGCUUAAUUUAUUGCUCGCGCAUGGUAUCUAAGCAGGUUUAGGUGUAAUAAUUUGUAUCACUGUAGCGUCCGAUCUAAGGCGCCUUUUAGUCACGCGGUAAUUCGGGGGAGAGCUUUUAUAAAUUUAAUUUUCCACGGUCUAGGCAUUUAACGAGGAAGCACAUUUGGAGCUAGAAUUUUGCAAAGAAAUUUUUGGCAGCAUAUUAGGUUUUUCACGUAGCGGCCACAUUUCUCCACUCUAUAGAAACUUUCAGCUGUUCAGGACAAGCGCAAGAACUUUGCUACUUUUUCCAGUGAAUGAACUGUUUUUAGGACGUUGAUCAGAUCGAGCUGUAGCCUAUAUGGUACCUCAGUGGAUCUGACUUUAUUAAGACGAUCUAACCGCAGCCUUAAUGGUACCUCGGUAGAUCUAUAUAAAAGUUUAAUUAUUGAUGAAUGGACAUUGGUAUAAUAUAUGAAGUGAACUUAA
rnacentral:lncRNA from 1 species